UACAGAGGGUGCAAACGUUGUUCGGAAUUACUGGGCGUAAAGCGCGUGUAGGCGGUUCGUAAAGUCGGAUGUGAAAGCCCUGGGCUUAACCCAGGAAGUGCAUUCGAAACUCACGAACUUGAGUCCAGGAGAGGAAGGCGGAAUUCUCGGUGUAGAGGUGAAAUUCGUAGAUAUCGAGAGGAACAUCUGUGGCGAAGGCGGCCUUCUGGACGGUGACUGACGCUGAGACGCGAAAGCGUGGGGAGCAAACAGG
rnacentral:rRNA from 1 species